UAAGUUGACGCCUGGGAGUACGCCGCAAGGUUGAAACUCAAAGGAAUUGACGGGACCCGCACAAGCGGUUGGAUGAUGUGUUUAAUUCGAUGCAACGCGAAAACCUUACCCACCUUUGACAUGUACGGAAUCCUAAAGAGAUUUGGGAGUGCUCGAAAGAGAGCCGUAACACAGGUGCUGCAUGGCUGUCGUCAGCUCGUGUCGUGAGAUGUUGGGUUAAGUCCCGCAACGAGCGCAACCCUUGUCAUUAGUUGCUACGAAAGGGCACUCUAAUGAGACUGCCGGUGACAAACCGGAGGAAGGUGGGGAUGACGUCAAGUCCUCAUGGCCCUUAUAGGUGGGGCUACACACGUCAUACAAUGGCUGGUACAGAGGGUUGCCAACCCGCGAGGGGGAGCUAAUCCCAUAAAACCAGUCGUAGUCCGGAUCGCAGUCUGCAACUCGACUGCGUGAAGUCGGAAUCGCUAGUAAUCGCGGAUCAGAAUGUCGCGGUGAAUACGUUCCCGGGUCUUGUACACACCGCCCGUCACACCAUGGGAGCGGGUUCUGCCAGAAGUAGUUAGCCUAACCGCAAGGGGGGCGAUUACCACGGCAGGGUUCGUGACUGGGGUGAAGUCGUAACAAGGU
rnacentral:rRNA from 1 species